AUGAACGCUAGCUACAGGCUUAACACAUGCAAGUCGAGGGGAAACGACAUUGGAAGCUUGCUUCCGAUGGGCGUCGACCGGCGCACGGGUGAGUAACGCGUAUCCAACCUGCCCACCACUUGGGAAUAACCUUGCGAAAGUAAGACUAAUGCCAAAUGACGUUGAAAGAAGACAUCUGAUUUCAACUAAAGAUUCAUCGGUGAUGGAUGGGGAUGCGUCCGAUUAGCUUGUUGGCGGGGUAACGGCCCACCAAGGCAACGAUCGGUAGGGGUUCUGAGAGGAAGGUCCCCCACAUUGGAACUGAGACACGGUCCAAACUCCUACGGGAGGCAGCAGUGAGGAAUAUUGGUCAAUGGGCGAGAGCCUGAACCAGCCAAGUAGCGUGCAGGACGACGGCCCUAUGGGUUGUAAACUGCUUUUAUAAGGGAAUAAAGUGGGGCUCGUGAGCUCCUUUGCAUGUACCUUAUGAAUAAGGACCGGCUAAUUCCGUGCCAGCAGCCGCGGUAAUACGGAAGGUCCGGGCGUUAUCCGGAUUUAUUGGGUUUAAAGGGAGCGUAGGCCGCAGGUUAAGCGUGUUGUGAAAUGUAGGGGCUCAACCUCUGCACUGCAGCGCGAACUGGCUUGCUUGAGUACGCACAACGUGGGCGGAAUUCGUGGUGUAGCGGUGAAAUGCUUAGAUAUCACGAAGAACUCCGAUUGCGAAGGCAGCUCACGGGAGCGCAACUGACGCUGAAGCUCGAAAGUGCGGGUAUCGAACAGGAUUAGAUACCCUGGUAGUCCGCACGGUAAACGAUGGAUGCCCGCUGUUGGCUUGAAUUAGUCAGCGGCCAAGCGAAAGCAUUAAGCAUCCCACCUGGGGAGUACGCCGGCAACGGUGAAACUCAAAGGAAUUGACGGGGGCCCGCACAAGCAGUGGAGUAUGUGGUUUAAUUCGACGCAACGCGAAGAACCUUACCAAGUCUUGACAUCCCUUGACAGACAUAGAAAUAUGUAAUCUCUUCGGAGCAAGGAGACAGGUGGUGCAUGGUUGUCGUCAGCUCGUGCCGUGAGGUGUCGGCUUAAGUGCCAUAACGAGCGCAACCCCUCUCCUUAGUUGCCAUCAGGUAAGGCUGGGCACUCUGGGGACACUGCCACCGUAAGGUGUGAGGAAGGUGGGGAUGACGUCAAAUCAGCACGGCCCUUACGUCCGGGGCUACACACGUGUUACAAUGGCAGGUACAGAGAGACGGUCUGAUGCAAAUCAGAUCCAAUCCUUAAAGCCUGUCUCAGUUCGGACUGGGGUCUGCAACCCGACCCCACGAAGCUGGAUUCGCUAGUAAUCGCGCAUCAGCCAUGGCGCGGUGAAUACGUUCCCGGGCCUUGUACACACCGCCCGUCAAGCCAUGAAAGCCGGGGGCGCCUGAAGUCCGUGACCGCAAGGAGCGGCCUAGGGCGAAACUGGUAAUUGGGGCU
rnacentral:rRNA from 1 species